UACGUAGGGGGCAAGCGUUGUCCGGAUUUAUUGGGCGUAAAGAGCGUGUAGGCGGCCAGACAGGUCCGUUGUGAAAACUCGAGGCUCAACCUCGAGAUGUCGGCGGAAACCAUCUGGCUAGAGUCCGGAAGAGGAGAGUGGAAUUCCUGGUGUAGCGGUGAAAUGCGCAGAUAUCAGGAAGAACACCCGUGGCGAAGGCGGCUCUCUGGGACGGUACUGACGCUGAGACGCGAAAGCGUGGGGAGCGAACAGG
rnacentral:rRNA from 1 species